rnacentral:rRNA from 1 species
GACGAACGCUGGCGGCGUGCCUAACACAUGCAAGUCGAGCGAGUGAAUCUCCUUCGGGAGUGAAGCUAGCGGCGGACGGGUGAGUAACACGUGGGCAACCUGCCUCAUAGAGGGGAACAGCCUUCCGAAAGGAAGAUUAAUACCGCAUAAGAUUGUAGCUUCGCAUGAAGUAGCAAUUAAAGGAGCAAUCCGCUAUGAGAUGGGCCCGCGGCGCAUUAGCUCGUUGGUGAGGUAACGGCACACCAAGGCGACGAUGCGUAGCCGACCUGAGAGGGUGAUCGGACACAUUGGGACUGAGACACGGCCCAGACUCCUACGGGAGGCAGCAGUGGGGAAUAUUGCACAAUGGGGGAAACCCUGAUGCAGCAACGCCGCGUGAGUGAUGACGGCCCUCGGGUUGUAAAGCUCUGUCUUCAGGGACGAUAAUGACGGUACCUGAGGAGGAAGCCACGGCUAACUACGUGCCAGCAGCCGCCGUAACAC